GUUCUUGUAGUUGAAAUACAAUCAUGGGUUUUCAACCCAUAGGUCCUGGUUAAAACUCCGGGCAGGAAUA
rnacentral:tRNA from 1 species